CAUUACCAUAUUGACUAGGUAUGUCAAAUCUACUAAUUCUACUUGUGUGCACCAGUAGCAGUAUUUUAGCUAUAAAAAGUGUCAAAUAAUAUUAUUAUUUACGCUAAGUUUCCUUAUAAAUCAUAAUUCAUUUUAUUUUUGAUUCCGAGUUUCUACUAAUAACAUCAAUUCCUGGGAAAUGAAUAAUAUUUUUUAUUAUUAUUUAAAACUUGAAAACAAAAAUUAAAAUAGUUGAUUUUUAAUUUUAUUUUCGUAUAUCCUAAUUCCUAACCCCCUAAAUGUUGUCUUACAUUUUAUAUUCAUAACUUAUUUUAGCCUGGAGCACUCCGGUAUGUCACAAAUGAAUCUACACGAAGCCAAGAUUAGCCCAGGAGUUCCAUUUUUCUCAAAAAUGUAUCAAAGUAAGAAGUUUCUAGUGAUUCCCUAUAAUAAUUUUAUGUUUGUUACCAGUAGACGUUUUGACGAUAAACUAUAAUUCAACCAGCAUGAUCAAUGGAAUAAUGAUUGAAUUCAGUGACUUCGUUUUAUGGUACAAAUACAUUGACAAAAUGCAUGAUAAAGCAACAGCAGAAACGACUUUAUAGAUGUCAAGUAUGUUCUAAAUUAAUUGUCCAAUUAAUUGCCUUGAUCACAUUGCGAAAGACCAUAAUCAGCCACCUCAAUCAACCUCGAAUGGAGAAAGAGAAACUGAAGAUUCUUGUCCGGUUACAACUAGAGUUAUGAAACCGGAACCAUCCACGAUUCAAGAAAAUAUUCAGCAAGGGAGUCUCCUAUAGAUGAGGACAAAAAUCAACAGGAUUACAACAAAGGCACUGUCAAUACAGAUAUGAUGUUGAAUGGCAACGUCUUCGCUCAAGGAUCUGCAGAUGUUAAAAAAAGAAGAAACUCCAUACAGUGAUAAAAAAAGUCUAUGUAGUUUAUGUUAGCCACAUUCUAUAAUGAUAAUCCUUCAAACAGUGGGGGUUAGUUAAAACAAAGCUUAAGUUGUAUAAAACUUAAUUAAUAGUUAGUAAUCAAUUUUAUUUUUAUAAGCUCCAGUUUUAUAAUUUAAAAUUUCCCUUGAGGUUUUUUUUAUAUUUUCUUGUCAAUAUCUUUUAAGUGGCAUA